GAACUUAAGCAUAUCAAUAAGCGCAGAAAAGAAACCAACAGGGAUUGCUCAGUAACGGCGAGUGAAGCGGCAACAGCUCAAAUUUGAAAUCCGGCCUCUCGGGGUCCGAGUUGUAAUUUGUAGAGGAUGUUUUGGGUACCGCCCCGGUCUAAAUUUCUUGGAACAGAAUGUCAAAGAGGGUGAGAAUCCCGUCUUGGACCGGCGGUAGGGCCUGUGUAAAACUCCUUCGACGAGUCGAGUUGUUUGGGAAUGCAGCUCAAAAUGGGUGGUAAAUUUCAUCUAAAGCUAAAUAUUGGCCAGAGACCGAUAGCGCACAAGUAGAGUGAUCGAAAGAUGAAAAGCACUUUGAAAAGAGAGUUAAACAGUAUGUGAAAUUGUUGAAAGGGAAGCGCUUGCAACCAGACUUGAGCGCGGCGGUUCCCCUGGCCUUUUGGCCAGGUUACUCCGUCGUGUCCAGGCCAACAUCGGUUUCGAGGGUCGGUCAAAGGCUCCGGGAAUGUAUCUACCCACGGGUAGACUUAUAGACCGGGGUGUCAUGCGACCUCUCGGGACCGAGGAACGCGCUUCGGCUCGGAUGUUGGCGUAAUGGUUGUCAGCGACCCGUCUUGAAACACGGACCAAGGAGUCUAACAUCUAUGCGAGUGUUUGGGUGUCAAACCCGGAACGCGAAAUGAAAGUGAACGGAGGUAGGAAGCUUCGGCUGCACUAUCGACCGAUCCUGAAGUUUACGGAAGGAUUUGAGUAAGAGCAUAGCUGUUGGGACCCGAAA
rnacentral:rRNA from 1 species